UGUGGUGAGCCCAGCAUAAGGGAACCUCCUGUCCCACGACCUAUAGAGGCUCAAGGACUCAGAGGAUGUGACCCAUUGCUGUCCCACUCCUCAUCCCUCCUGCACGGAAGACCUGCCAUGCUCCAGGAUGCUUCCAGGCAGAAUAUGAUCCACAGGCAGAACUGUUCUGGGUUCCACAGGGAUGGGUGCAUGCCGAGCAGACUCC